AAACAGUGUUGUGGGCAAUGCCUCAGAAGGUCCUUAAAUCUUUCCCAUGCUUCAUAGAGGGUCUCACCAUCUUGUUGAGUAAAAGAAGCUAUGUCAUGUUGAAGCUU